CUGGUUGACCUCGGAUCAGGUAGGAAUACCCGCUGAACUUAAGCAUAUCAAUAAGCGGAGGAAAAGAAACCAACAGGGAUUGCCCUAGUAACGGCGAGUGAAGCGGCAACAGCUCAAAUUUGAAAUCUGGCCUUCGGGUCCGAGUUGUAAUUUGCAGAGGAUGCUUUUGGCGCGGUGCCUUCCGAGUUCCCUGGAACGGGACGCCUUAGAGGGUGAGAGCCCCGUACGGUUGGACACCAAGCCUCUGUAAAGCUCCUUCGACGAGUCGAGUAGUUUGGGAAUGCUGCUCUAAAUGGGAGGUAAAUUUCUUCUAAAGCUAAAUACCGGCCAGAGACCGAUAGCGCACAAGUAGAGUGAUCGAAAGAUGAAAAGCACUUUGAAAAGAGGGUUAAAUAGCACGUGAAAUUGUUGAAAGGGAAGCGUUUACGGCCAGACCUUUUCCUGGCGGAUCAUCUGGUGUUCUCACCAGUGCACUUCGCCAGGUUUAGGCCAGCAUCGGCUUCUGUAGGGGGAUAAAAGCAGUGGGAAAGUAGCUCCCU
rnacentral:rRNA from 1 species